rnacentral:rRNA from 1 species
GAUGAACGCUGGCGGCGUGCCUAAUACAUGCAAGUCGAGCGGACUUUCCGGAGUCCUUCUACUCUGGUGGGUUCGCCGCGCACGGGAGUGACACAUGUAUGACACCUGUAUAUAACUCGGGGAUCUUAUUCGAAACCUAGCGCUUAUACCGGAAUAACUGGCUCCUCGUAUGUGGGGAGUGGGAGACGCGCAGCAUUCUGCUGCUAAUGGAAGCCCCCGUGCGGCAUUAGCUAGGUGGUGGGGUAACGGCCUACCAAGGCGACGAUGCGUAGCCGACCUGAGAGGGUGAUCGGCCACACUGGGACUGAGACACGGUCCAGACUCCUACGGGAGGCAGCAGUAGGGAAUCUUCCGCAAUGGGCGCAAGUCUGACGGAGCAACGCCGCGUGAGUGAGGAAGGCCUUCGGGUCGUAAAACUCUGUUACCAGGGAAGAACGGGCGUGGGAGUAACUGCCCUUGCCAUGACGGUACCUAAGCAGAAAGCCCCGGCUAACUACGUG